ACACAGCUAAUUAAGCUGACCAGGUCCCUGUCCCCAUGGGGGCCUGGUGUGCAACAGUUGCAAACAGAAGCCUCUUUGGUAGUGUGUGCAGCCUGCUGCCUAUAUGGGCUGCGCUAGGGGACCUUGGAGACAAUU